CCUACGGGUGACAGCAGUGGGGAAUAUUGCACAAUGGGGGAAACCCUGAUGCAGCGACGCCGCGUGAGUGAAGAAGUAAUUCGUUAUGUAAAGCUCUAUCAGCAGGGAAGAAAAUGACGGUAACUGAGUAAGAAGCCCCGGCUAACUACGUGCCAGCCGCCGCGGUAAUACGUAGGGGGCAAGCGUUAUCCGGAUUUACUGGGUGGAAAGGGAGCGUAGACGGCAGUGCAAGUCUGGAGUGAAAGGCGGGGGCUCAACUGCGGGACUGCUUUUGGAACUAUCUAGCUAGAUUGCAGGAGAGGUAAGUGGAAUUCCUAGUGUAGCGGUGAAAUGCGUAGAUAUUAGGAGGAACACCAGUGGCGAAGGCGGCUUACUGGACUGUAAAUGACGCUGAGGCUCGAAAGCGUGGGGAGCAAACAGGAUUAGAUACCCCGGUAGUC
rnacentral:rRNA from 1 species